rnacentral:rRNA from 1 species
UGAAUACGAGACGCUAAGGCGUCGAAGUAGUGUAUAUCAGACUUCCAAGAAAAGCUUGCACUGUCAUAGAUAAAAAAUGCCUGUACCAUAACCGACACAGGUGGGUAGGUAGAGUAUACUAAGGGGCGCGAGAUAACUCUCUCUAAGGAACUCGGCAAAAUAACUCCGUAACUUCGGGAGAAGGAGUGCCUUAUUUAUAAGGUUGCAAUAACAAGAUCCAAGCAACUGUUUAUCAAAAACACAGGUCUCCGCUAAGUCGUAAGACGAUGUAUGGGGGCUGACGCCUGCCCAGUGCCAGAAGGUUAAAGAAGUUGGUUAGCAAUUGCGAAGCUGAUAACUGAAGCCCUGGUGAACGGCGGCCGUAACGAUAACGGUCCUAAGGUAGCGAAAUUCCUUGUCGGGUAAGUUCCGACCCGCACGAAAGGCGUAAUGAUUUGGAUACUGUCUCGGAGAGGGGCUCGGUGAAAUAGACUUGUCUGUGAAGAUGCGGACUACCUGCACCAGGACAGAAAGACCCUAUGAAGCUUUACUGUAACUUGAAAUUGAAAUUGGACUUUAUUCGCGCAGCAUAGGUGGGAGGCGUUGAUUAUAAUCUUGCGGGAUUAUUGGAGCCAUCAGUGAGAUACCACUCUUGUAAUGUUAGAUUUCUAACUUUGAAUCAUUAUCUGGUCAAAGAACAGUUUCAGGCGGGCAGUUUGACUGGGGCGGUCGCCUCCUAAAUGGUAACGGAGGCGUACAAAGGUUUCCUCUGAACGGUUAGAAAUCGUAUCUAGAGUGUAAAGGCAUAAGGAAGCUUGACUGUGAGACCUACAAGUCGAGCAGGGACGAAAGUCGGUCUUAGUGAUCUGACGGUACUGAGUGGAAAGGCCGUCACUCAACGGAUAAAAGUUACUCUAGGAUAACAGGCUGAUCUCCCCCAAGAGUUCACAUCGACGGGGAGGUUUGGCACCUCGAUGUCGGCUCAUCGCAUCCUGGGGCGGUAGUACGUCCCAAGGGUUGGGCUGUUCGCCCAUGAAAGCGGUACGCGAGCUGGGUUCAGAACUCGUGAGACAGUUCGGUCCAUAUCCGGUGUAGGCGUUAGAAUAUUGAGAGGAGCCUUCUUUAGUACGAGAGGACCGAGAAGGACAUACCUCUGGUGUACCAGUUAUCGUGCCAACGGUAAACGCUGGGUAGCUAUGUAUGGAGUGGAUAACCGCUGAAAGCAUCUAAGUGGGAAGCCCACCUCAAGAUAAGUAUUCCC